CGCGCCCUUCCCCCUCGAUAAAUUGAAUUGGAACCAUCCACUUCCGGUUUGCCACUCGGAUCUUCCACGCGCGCGGAGCCGGCAGGAGGAGACGCUCAGGCGGACAAGGAGCAGCGGGACAAACGUCUGCUUUGUUUGGAGCAGGGCUGAGCUGCCGGACCAGGAGCCAGGACCAGGACCAGGACCAGGAGCCAGGACCAGGACCAGGACCAGGAGGAGGACGAGGAGCAGCGGGGACAGAAGAAGCUCCGCCUCGGACAAAGGAAGUGGAACAUUCCAAAUAGAUCGACACAGAGGGGUGGAGUGGAAUGUACCAAGUCACGGAAAGUACACAAAGGCUUUUAAAUCAGUGUGUGUUUGUGCAGGAGCAGCUCCACCUGUAAUUAAACAACGUUCAUGUCCUCGCUGGACAAAUAAAAGAACAAUGGCAGCUGAAAUUGUUGUUAUUUAAUAACAUUUUUGCUUAAACAGAAAAAAAACACCUGUAGGAAAUGCUGCCACCUGCUGGACUGGAGGUGUUUCCCCCCUCAUCUUAUAAAAGCUGCCUAAAUGAUCCAGUUUUAGCUCUUUGUCUUAAAAAGAUCAAGAAUAAAUGUUGUGACAGUAAAUGGAUGUUUUUCCUUGUUGUGUCUUGUAGGACACUUUGGACGUUUUGUGUCAAAUACACACUCAAUCCACCCAACAUAAAUGAGAUAUAUAAUAAUGUUAUGCAUUGUUAUAUUCUACUUUCAUUCAGGUGAUUUUUUUUCACCUAUAUCUGACCUAAUUAUUGAUGUCAAAUACUGAAUAAUGUUUUAACCCUUUAAAUACCACGUUUUUAUCAUGUUGCCAUGUUUAGAUUAAAAAAUGAAUAUAUGAAUAGUAGCAUGAGACGUAUUUAUAUGUCUUUGAAUGACUCAGCACAAACUGAAUCUGUUCUCACAGAGCUGCAGAACAACACGCCAAUCUUUCUUAUUUUGGCCUGAAGUUUUAACGUUGUAUGAACUUCAGUCGUUUGUCAGAUUUGAACUCACAACUUUGUCCUGUUGAUCUCACACUGAAUUUCCUGGUGUUCUUAUGGUUCUCAUGAGCGUCAUCACUCUGAUGUGAGUUUGUUAUCUGGUUAUUUUGUGUCGACAGGAAAUGUUUUAGAUCUUUGAGUUCAGCAAAAAUAAAAGUGUUUGUAUUUUU